rnacentral:rRNA from 1 species
GAAUUGUUCGCAAUGGGCGCAAGCCUGACGACGCAACGCCGCGUGGAGGAUGAAGGUCUUCGGAUUGUAAACUCCUGUUGCCCGGGACGAACAGCUCCGACCUAACACGUCGGAGUCUGACGGUACCGGGUGGGGAAGCCCCGGCCUACACUGUGCCCGGAGCCGCGGUAAUACAGAGGGGGCAAGCGUUGUUCGGAAUUACUGGGCGUAAAGGGCGCGUAGGCGGCCUGUUAAGUCGAACGUGAAAUCCCCGGGCUCAACCCGGGAACUGCGUCCGAGACUGGCAGGCUCGAAUCCGGGAGAGGGAUGUGGAAUUCCAGGUGUAGCGGUGAAAUGCGUAGAUAUCUGGAGGAACACCGGUGGCGAAGGCGGCAUCCUGGACCGGUAUUGACGCUGAGGCGCGAAAGCCAGGGGAGCAAACGGG